UUUUGGACAAUGGGCGAAAGCCUGAUCCAGCAAUGCCGCGUGCAGGAAGAAGGCCUUCGGGUUGUAAACUGCUUUUGUACGGACCGAAAAGGUCUGCCCUAAUACGGCGGGCCCAUGACGGUACCGUAAGAAUAAGCACCGGCUAACUACGUGCCAGCAGCCGCGGUAAUACGUAGGGUGCGAGCGUUAAUCGGAAUUACUGGGCGUAAAGCGUGCGCAGGCGGUGAUGUAAGACAGUUGUGAAAUCCCCGGGCUCAACCUGGGAAUUGCAUCUGUGACUGCAUCGCUAGAGUACGGUAGAGGGGGAUGGAAUUCCGCGUGUAGCAGUGAAAUGCGUAGAUAUGCGGAGGAACACCGAUGGCGAAGGCAAUCCCCUGGACCUGUACUGACGCUCAUGCACGAAA
rnacentral:rRNA from 1 species